GACGAACGCUGGCGGCGUGCUUAACACAUGCAAGUCGAACGAUGAAGCCCUGCUUGCUGGGUGUGCUAGUGGCGCAAGGGGGAGUAACACGCGUGUAUCCCGUCCUUAACUCUGUGAUAUGACUGGAGAACAGGGUCUCUUAUCGGAUAGGAGAGCUCACCCCAUGGGGGGUGUUGGGGAGAGUUGGCGGUUUUGGGUGGAGUCGCGGCCUAUCAGCUUGUUGGUGGGGUAUUGGCUCAUCAAGGCGACGACGGGUAGCGGGCCUGAGAGGGUGACCGGCCACACUGGGACUGAGAUACGGCCCAGACUCCUACGGGAGGCAGCAGUGGGGAAUAUUGCACAAUGGGCGCAAGCCUGAUGCAGCGACGCCGCGUGAGGGAUGACGGCCUUCGGGUUGUAAACCGCUUUCAGUAGGGAAGAAGCGAAAGUGACGGUACCUGGAGAAGAAGCACCGGCUAACUACGUG
rnacentral:rRNA from 1 species